UAUCCAGACUCCUACGGGAGGCAGCAGUGGGGAAUAUUGGGCAAUGGGCGCAAGCCUGACCCAGCAACGCCGCGUGAAGGAAGAAGGCUUUCGGGUUGUAAACUUCUUUUCUCAGGGACGAAGAAAGUGACGGUACCUGAAGAAAAAGCAUCGGCUAACUCCGUGCCAGCAGCCGCGGUAAUACGGAGGAUGCGAGCGUUAUCCGGAUUUAUUGGGUUUAAAGGGUGCGUAGGCGGAAUAUCAAGUCAGCGGUAAAAAUUCGGGGCUCAACCCCGUCGUGCCGUUGAAACUGAUGUUCUUGAGUGGGCGAGAAGUAUGCGGAAUGCGUGGUGUAGCGGUGAAAUGCAUAGAUAUCACGCAGAACUCCGAUUGCGAAGGCAGCAUACCGGCGCCCAACUGACGCUGAAGCACGAAAGCGUGGGUAUCGAACAGGAUUAGAUACCCGUGUAC
rnacentral:rRNA from 1 species